UUGCCGUUUCAGAGCACUUUAUUGUUCAUUGACUUAAGUACAAAAACUUUUUCAAUUGGAGAAACAAGGCCACAAAAUUAAGGUUUAAUAAAGAUUUUACAGUUUGGAGAGUACAAUACAUAGUACUACAGUACUACUACAUAGUACUACAGUACUACUACAUAGUACUACUACAUAGUAGUACUACAGUACUACAGUACUACUACAUAGUACUACAACAUAGUACUAGGUUUUACAAUGUUGAUGCAGCUUGAAAGUUGUGUGUGUCAGUGGGACCCGAUUCCCAUAAUGCAUUACCUUUGUCAGGGAAUACAGUUGAAGUCAGAAUUUAACAUACACUUAGGUUGGAGUCAUUCAAACUCAUUUUUCAACCACUACACAAAUGUCUUGUUAACAAAUUAGUUUUGGCAAGUUGGUUAGGACAUCUAGUGUGUGCAUGACACAAGUCAUUUUUCCAACUAUCUGUUUUAGAUUAUCUCACUUAUAAUUCACUGUAUCACAAUUCCAGUUGGUCAGAAGUUUACAUACACUAAGUUGACUGUGCCUUUAAACAGAUUGGAAAAUUCUAGAAAAUGUCAUGGCUUUAGAAGCUUCUGAUAGGCUAAUUGACAUAAUUUGAGUCAAUUGGAGGUGUACCUGUGGAUGUAUUUCAAGGCCUACCUUCAAACUCAGUGCCUCUUCGCUUGACAUCAUGGGAAAAUCAAAAGAAAUCAACCAAGACCUCAGAAUGUGUUUUUACGUACUUUGAUGAGAAAAGUGCAAAUCAAUCCCAGAACAACAGCAAAGGACAUUGUAAAGUUGCUGGAGGAAACAGGUACAAAAGUAUCUACAUCCACAGUAAAACGAGUACUAUAUCGACAUAACCUGAAAGGCCACUCAGCAAGGAAGAAGCCACUGCUCCUAAACCGCCAUAAAAAAGCCAGACUACGGUUUGCAACUACAUAUGGGGACAUAGAUGGUACUUUUUGGAGAAAUGUCCUCUGCUCUGAUGAAACAAAUGGAACUGUUUGGCCAUAAUGACCAUCGUUAUGUUUGGAGGAAAAAAGGGGGAUGCUUGCAAGCCGAAGAACACCAUCCCAACCGUGAAGCACGGGGGUGGCAGCACCAUGUUGUGGGGGUGCUUUGCUGCAGGAGGGACUGGUUCACUUCACAAAAUAGAUGGCAUCAUGAGGGGGGAAAAUUAUGUGGAUAUAUUGAAGCAACAUCUCAAGACAUAAGACUUAACUGACCGGGGAAUUUUUUACGAGGAUUAAAUUUCAGAAAUUGUGGAAAAACUGAGUUUAAAUAUAUUUGGCUAAGGUGUAUGUAAACUUUUGACUUCAACGGUAUAUUCCCUGUAUAGUGCACUACUUUUGAGAGAAGGGUGCUACUUAGGACACAGCUGUUGAUUUAGAAGCACACAGCCAGUCUUCCUGUGAUCUACCAUUAAAUAACAUGACUAAUACAGUAGUGUUCGGAUCUCACAAACAAGAUGGACGACAAAGAUAGUCUCAAAAAAAAAAUCACUGUCCCGAAUGACCCCCCAAUUCCCUAUUUAGUGCACUACUUUUGUCCUCUGGUAGUGUACUAUAAAGGGAAGAGACUGUCAUUUGGGAUAUACCUUUUGUAGAGUAUCUGCUGAGUAGCCUUGAUUCAGCAUUAUACACAUUAUGCGUCAUAAUACACAAGUGGCUAUCAUCAACGCAGUGUUUAUAUUAUUACUGUGUUCCUGCACUUUAACCUUUUAAAAGAACAACUCUAAAAACAAAAAAAAAGAUCAACUUUUUAAAACAUUUAUUUUAUACACAAACAAAAAAAAGGGGGAAAAUUAAAUAGCUACAUGUCAUUAAACAAAUUGAUCCUCAAAAAAUACCUACAAUUUUCUCUGUACAAUCGUUACGCACAGCGUAAUGAUGGUCUCAUAAUUAACUAUAUAUAAAAAGUUGUUUUUUUAUUAAGUGAUUUUCCUACAGCGUGUAGGGCAUUGUGUUGCCAUAGCAGAAUGAGUGAGAGCCUCCAAAUGUUUUUGAAAAAUUCUGGUAGCUUUCCAAAAAAAUAAUAAUUCCCAGGUCACCGGAAAUGUGCGACCCUAGUGACGCGUUUUUAUAACGAAAUGACCUCUGGACACUACACCUCUUCCCUUUCUGUUCAUGCACAUUAUAAUUGAUCAUUCUUUUAAAGGACAUUAUCAACGUUUUAGUUCUCUCAUAACAUUUACCGAAAGUACAAUGUGAAAAUCAACCAGUCAUCUUUGAAGAACUAUACAUUAGUUUUUGUUUAAAUCUGAACUCAGAUUAAAGUCAAUAAUAAUAACAUCAACUGACUAGCAGCUGGAUCAGCUCUGAGAGAAUAUGGUUUAGUUUCAGCUGGAUCCGGUCUCUGAGAAAAUAUGGUUUAGGUUCAGCUGGAUCCGGUCUCUGAGAGAAUAUGGUUUAGGUUCAGCUGGAUCCGGUCUCUGAGAGAAUAUGGUUUAGGUUCAGCUGGAUCCGGUCUCUGAGAGAAUAUGGUUUAGGUUCAGCUGGAUCCGGUCUCAGAGAGAAUAUGGUUUAGGUUCAGCUGGAUCCGGUCUCUGAGAGAAUAUGGUUUAGGCUCCGUCCCUAAUGACAUCCCUAAUCGUUAUGCACUAAAUGUGGCCAGACAAAGUGUGAAGCUUUACAUUGGGAAUAGGGUUCCAUGUAGGACGUGUAGCCUUGGUGUAGUUACAGGAACUAUAGAUUUGACUUGGGAUGAUGGAAUGUAAGGGCAUAUAAGAGCUGUAUAGACAGUGCUUCAUCAACCCUUAAGCUUUAACCAUGUUCUGUCACCUUCACCACUAGAUUUGCACCUUACGGUUACAUCCCCCAAAAUUCUCAGGUUUUCUAUCAAUUCUGGUUGUUUGGAAGAUUUGUGGAUUUUCCAACCAGGAUUUUCCGGAAAAAAAUCAAGGAAUUUUCAGGGAAUGUUUCCGGAAUGUUGCAACACUAAAUCACCACCUUUCUGUUACUAAGUUAGUAGCUAUACUAAUACUGAUAUGAAUGCAACACCUGUCCUAGGUUCCCUAUAGGAAGGAAUGUCUGCUGCCUUGGUACAGGAGUUAGUAAAACAAGUUCGUUUCACAAGCUGCAGCUGCCUAUCUACCCAGUGAGCAAAAUAGUUUGAAAGACUUAUUUUCAACAUCUUGUGCUCAUAAGAUGCAUUCCGCUACACACCCACAGUUGUUCAUCAGAGAAGUAGAAACAACAACGACAUGAAAAACACAACAUUUAAAAAAAAACUAGUGGACAGAAAGAAAAAGAAGGUUCUGAUAAAAGGUCGACUCUGGGUCGAUCUCGCCGGCUGGUUUGUUGCGUUAAUUCCAUUUUCAGUCAUGCAGAACAAAAAACGCAGUAGCAUCCAGGGAUUAUCAAUAACGCUAUAGAACGAUUACGGUAACGUUACAGAAAACAUAUUAUUGUUAUAGAUUAGAAUCUAAACUGAUCAUAUAGAAGAGUACAGAAGGCCUGUCCGGAGGCUGUCCUCUGUGUCGCUAGCUGGUUGCUACCAGAGAGAACUGAAGAAUACUACAUAUUAACAUGGAGUCUAACUGGACCAGCAGUAAAUGCAGCUACAACGGAUGUUGUUAUUGCAGAAAACAAAUAUAUAAAACAAAAACAAUGUAACUUGUAAUAAGAUUGAAAUGUCUAAUAAACAUGAAUAGAUACCAGCUAUUUAAAAACAAAAUAUCCACCUUAUUCUGUAAGCACUACUUUUACUUGACCAAUUAAACCAGAGAGCAAAAUUCUACCUACCACACCACAGUGCCGCAGAGAGAAACAUAAUCUACCUACCACACCACAGUGCCGCAGAGAGAGACAUAAUCUACCUCUACCUACCACACCACAGUGCCGCAGAGAGACAUAAUCUACCUACCACACCACAGUGCCGCAGAGAGACAUAAUCUACCUCUACCUACCACACCACAGUGCUGCAGAGAGAAACAUAAUC
ensembl:lncRNA